UACGUAGGGGGCAAGCGUUAUCCGGAUUUACUGGGUGUAAAGGGAGCGUAGACGGCACGGCAAGCCAGAUGUGAAAGCCCGGGGCUCAACCCCGGGACUGCAUUUGGAACUGCUGAGCUAGAGUGUCGGAGAGGCAAGUGGAAUUCCUAGUGUAGCGGUGAAAUGCGUAGAUAUUAGGAGGAACACCAGUGGCGAAGGCGGCUUGCUGGACGAUGACUAACGUUGAGGCUCGAAAGCGUGGGGAGCAAACAGG
rnacentral:rRNA from 1 species